GUCUACAGCCACGCCACCCUGAACAAGCCCGAUAUCUGAUCUCGGAAGCUAACCAGGGUCAGGCCUGGUUAAUACUUGGAUGGGAGACCACCUAGGAAGACCAGGUGCUCUAGGCA
rnacentral:rRNA from 1 species